GACGAACGCUGGCGGCGUGCUUAACACAUGCAAGUCGAGCGGAAAGGCCCUUCGGGGUACUCGAGCGGCGAACGGGUGAGUAACACGUGAGCAACCUGCCCUUGGCUUUGGGAUAACCCUCGGAAACGGGGGCUAAUACCGGAUAUCCACUUUCUGUCGCAUGGUGGUUGGUGGAAAGUUUUUCGGCUGGGGAUGGGCUCGCGGCCUAUCAGCUUGUUGGUGGGGUGAUGGCCUACCAAGGCGACGACGGGUAGCCGGCCUGAGAGGGCGACCGGCCACACUGGGGCUGAGACACGGCCCAGACUCCUACGGGAGGCAGCAGUGGGGAAUAUUGCACAAUGGGCGCAAGCCUGAUGCAGCGACGCCGCGUGAGGGAAGACGGCCUUCGGGUUGUAAACCUCUUUCAGCAGGGACGAAGGGUGACUGACGGUACCUGCAGAAGAAGCGCCGGCCAACUACGUGCCAGCCGCCGCGGUAAGAC
rnacentral:rRNA from 1 species